AUCAUCAACACAACACAGUCAAGGCUAUUAGUCAAUAGUCAACACUAACUUCUCCCCUUGUUUUUGUUUCAAUAAGCCUAUAUUACAUUUUCACCCAGCACAGGGCAGUGGACUAAAAUUAUUCAACAAAAGAAAAUAGUUCAACAGGUUGUUCGAUCAAUUAGGGUUUAAUCUCUUACGAUUAUUUGAUCCAAUUUCAGCAUUGAAUAUGGCCGUCUCGAAAUCCGGUGCCGGAGAAUUCUUUCCAGACAAGAAGCAUGUCAGAAACUCUUUAGUCCCCGUUGGUGCUUUUAUUACCACUGGUGUGCUAACGGCUAGAUUGAUUAGUUUUAGACGAGGUAACUCUCAUUUAGGGCAGAAACUAAUGAGGGCUCGUGUGGUGGUCCAAGGCGCUACGGUGGCUCUUGUGGUUGGCACUGCCUAUUAUUAUGGAACCCAAUUUUGUCAAGUCGGAUCAGUUUGAAUUUAAGUUAAAAAAAUAUUAAGCCUAAUUCAAACCUAAUCAAAUACAUACAUUUUAAUUGGCUCGAGUAUAUUUUUCGUUUAAACUCAAUCCCACUCGAUCCUAUAACACUUCUACUAAAUGAUGAGCACAUUGUGGUGGGAACUGGGACAUGAUGAGCACAUUAUGGUUGCUUAGAAUUAAUAUGUCAUUGAUACGAGUCCAAGUACCAACUCUGGCUCAAUGGAGGAGACUAUAGAUGAUGAAGAGAUGUUUGGGUUAAGUAAUUCAGGUCUCCAAUAGAAGAACGAAAGGGAAAUGAGGCAGCCACAUUGGAAGAAGGACUACGAGCGUGAAGGAGCGUAGCAGGGAAAUAAUGCUUGAGACAAUAGCAAUAGUUAGUUAUAUAACCACCUAGUAGAGAGAGUCAUAUAUAGCAUGGAAUGAAGUCACAAAAGGCAUGUAAAAAAUAUCAUAUAUUGAGGAGUCUCCCUUACUCGAAAAGAGAAUCAUUGUCUUAUCUUUACUGUCGCUUCUGUUAAUUCUUCUUAUUUGAUGUUAUUGUUUACUA